UGUAGCGCGGUGGUCCCACCUGACCCCAUGCCGAACUCAGAAGUGAAACGCCGUAGCGCCGAUGGUAGUGUGGGGUCUCCCCAUGCGAGAGUAGGGAACUGCCAGGC
rnacentral:rRNA from 4 species